UGCAAUCUCAGCCAUUAAGAUACACCCAACAGCUGGAUAGAGAUGUCUCACAUUUGGAGCAGUAAUAAUACUGAACUUUGGCCAACACUCUCUAGGCUGUCGAUAGGGAAUGUGCCUCCUGUCUUUUCUUUCCUGGCACAAUUUACUGGAGACACAGAGUCAGAUACCCUUCCCAUGAUCCUCCUUAGUCUGAAUCCUUUCCUGGUUAGAGGCGCCACCCUUUCAGCAAAAACCUCCCAAAAUGAUGUUAUCUUGUGUCCUUAUUGCUUAGGUUGGAAUCAAGUCGGAACUGGAAUCCGAAAUAGGCGCUGGCAUUUCAACACUCACCUCAGUCCAAUAAAUAGUGACUAUCUAUGGCAUCUUACAGCAGCCCAGUGGCAUUUGCCGGAAUAAACUGAUUGACAGGCCUGACUGUUAUCAAGUUUGUAGCUGGGACUUUCCUCCUGGUUGGGCAUUACUUCUGCCUCCCCUCUACAAACCCCAAGAGAGAAAUGCUCAAUACGAUCUCAAUAACACCUGCCCUGUAACUCUCAGCUAUGUAGGCGUCAGGGCUGAAGGACCCUUCAUCAGAAUUAUUUUGGCUUAAGAACAAGUUAUAAAAAGAUGGGAAAACACAUGACUCACACGAGAAACAGUAGUAAUGUGCAGAAGUCUGACACAUCUGAGCUGAUUGCAACUAAGAACAAUACAAGGCCAAGGUUUGUUCCCUAAAGUCUCACUUCCCUGAGAAACGACUCAGAAUCAUGACCGGUUCUCUCAUUUCUACCGAAAACAUAUUCCUCUACUGACAGUCUGGAGGUAAACCAGCCUGGAACCCAAAAUCAUAUUCCAUUGAUUCCCUUUUAUAGGGUGACAUUUACAAUACAUAUCCUGGGUCGGGACUAUUUAUGCUUGCCGAUCACUGAGACAGAGGCCGAGGACAAAAGUGAUGUGGCCAAAGACAACCGCCAUCAACCUCUCUGUGCUGCUCUUCAGAUCUGAUGGGGGAAAGCUGUAAUACCACCCAUUUUUCCAACCUUGUUUCCUGGAUUCUAACAACACCAGACUUUGCUCUUUAAAGGAGAAGUAAAAAGCUCCCAUCCCAGGAAAUUGUAGUUGUUGCCUUAUUGCACAGCCCCCACUCCCUAAUGGCAUGGGUCAAGUGGUAAUGUUGCUUUUAGGGUGGGCCAUGGGGACCUGUGCAACAUCCAGGGGGCUGUAUUUCCCCUUUAAUUUAUUCCUGUUUCACAUUAUGAAUUUAUAACUAGUUACAAUCCUGCAAAAAGCAUCUAGGCCUAUUUUUUAAAAUUAUUUUACAAUUGUUUGAACUCAUAUAGACAAGCAUGAGAGAGGGUGAUAUUAAAGUAGAACUAAAUCCUAUAAAUUAAUAUGGCUAAAAAUGGCAUAUUUUACAUACUAAACGUAUUGC